ensembl:lncRNA
CCUAUUCAUGGAUCAGACUAGAAGCAGCCCUAGCUAUGCUGACGAAUUCGCAGUGAGGAUAUGUGGGGAUAUGUCUAACCUGUUGCUCUUUCAUGCUGUGUGCUGUCAGCCCUUGGUGAGCAUUCAUGUGGGAGUAGUGGUGAGUGCCAGAUUCAGGGAUGAUGGAGUCUGAGGGAGAUGCUUUACAUGGAGAGGUGAUAGGAAGCAGGGUGGAGGUGGCAGCUCCAUGCCUGGCUGGGGGUGGCCUUGUGGGGGACAUUGACAGUAGCAAGGUAGGAGCCAGAGGUGCAUCCUGUGGUACCCAAACAUAUAGAGCAAGGACAAUCUGGUGACAGCAGCCAGGAGUCCAGACCACCAGACAAGUGCAUGGUGGGGAGGUAGGUUUGAGGUCAGGCUGGGAUAGCAAUUGCCCAGCUUGGGAACUGGAUCAGUGUGGUGCAUGGCCAGGCAUGGGCACAGCUGUGGCAUGCCUCAGGCAAGGAGCCCAAUGUUAAACGAGCACUGGCAGGAGAAAUGCUUGCAUGUGAAAUAUUGUACUUUGAGCCAAGCAUGGGCUACAUGUGGAUGUCCAUGUUUGAUUGAGGCUAACGACUUCUGAGUUUGGGUCGUUAUAUUGUCAUCGUAUCAUUUUUGUAGUGCUACUUUCCAUGAAGUGGGAUUUUUCCUCCUUCCCUCCUAAGGUCCUCUUGUAAAGAACAUUCUUCAUAAUGAAGGGUAAUUUCUCUGUCUCCUGCCCUCUGCAAACCAAAAUGUGGGUGUUUUUGUUUGUUUUGUUUUGUUUUUGUUUUGUUUUUUUAAUUUCAGGAUGGAACUGUCGCCAUUAAUGUUUGCUUUUUUUUUUCUGACAAGGUUUUUUUUUUUUUUCCCCAGUUUCUGGAGGUGAAGACUUGAUUCAGCCUGCAAAUCCCUUUACUAUUAUGCCUGUACACCCCCAGCGCUCUGUGCUGCGUCUGUAUGGCUGCACAACUACCCACUGGAUCAAGCCUCCAUUCACCCUUCUCUGCAUAUUUCAAUACCAAUAGCCAGAACUGAAUGAAUGAGAAUGAAAUCAUUUCCUGUAACUUGGGUGGCGUACCUGCUGGGAGGGUGAUUUGUGAGUUUAACCUUCGCAGUGCCAUACACUCUUGACCCUGUAAUCACUGCUCAUGUCUGUGCUCUCACAGAGCUCUGUGGGUGUUAUGAAAGCAAUCACACGUUCACAAGAGUUUGGCUUUGGAGCUGGUUAAUUGUAUUGGGUUUGUGUGUUAAAAUUUUGGCAGCAUUUUUUUCUGCCACCAAACAAUUGUUCACAAAUGUUUCUGUUAUUCAGCCAUCUAUAAUGUGUGCCUAUCAAAGGAGGAGCAGUCUUAUAAAUAAUUACUGUCAGCUGUGCACAGUGAGGCAGUCACUUUGCAGCAUUCACUCUUGGUGUAGUUCCAGUCAAAUGGUGUAUUUCAAAUGUCAGCUUGACGCUCCUCUUGAAAUGGGAAAUAUUAAACAGGGAAAGAAAAGCUACUCACAGUCUAGGUCUAUGGUCUAGUUGCAGGGAGGUAAGGGUUUUCAAUUCCAUCUUGGUAUUUGCUAGACCUACUCUAUUUUCAGUUGCUCUUUUGUUUCAGGGUCUAUGCAUGGGCUGGGGUGAUUUUUCCAUCCAUGGAUGUGGUGCAGCCUUCUGGCCAUUGACAGGGCAGGAUGCUGCUGCCUCAUUACCAAGGCUGUUAGGGGUAUUCCUGCUCUGGCUGAUUCCUUCCCUGCCAUGCUGGAAGUUUCCAUUCCCUAGAAACAAGAAAGUGUUUCCAGUUCCUGUGGCAGCACACAGGAAUGCUUGCUCUGCAGUGCAACACAGUGAGCGUCACCUCAGUUUUAGGAGGUAUUCUCCAAUGACUGGUAGCACCAAAGCCAUCAGAGACUUGUAUUUUAGGGGAGGUGAUGUUUGAGCUUUGUGUAAUGCUUCCAUUAGCCUGAACCUGGCGGCCCCCCGAGGAGAGCUGGUACAUGCUUAGGGAAGGAAACCUGCUUGGAAAAGAUUAAGCACCAUUCUUUGUGCUCCGAAGGGGGCCUGGUUUGAGCUGGGAUUAGCUCAUAGACAUUUCUGAGCAACUAGUUCUGUGCUUGGGUUUCCUGUACUACAUGAUUAAUGGUGUAUUUGGGGCAGCGUCUGCUGACAGCUGUGCUUUUGACUCAGGCAGACACAGGGACUGAUGCGUGCUCAAAAAACAUUGAUCACGGUUCAGACGUUUGAAUGCAAGAGCAUUGCUACACCGACUUUUACUUAGGGUAUUUUUUGUGUCUGGAUUCUACUUUUCCACUGUUGUUCACUGUUUUGCAUUUGUUGGAGUAUGUGCCUGAUACGUGUCACCCUGUUGUUUGUCGUAUUACCCAUUCUGUAGGUAACAAAAUUCACCUGUUUUUGGACCUGCUUCCCUGUAAUGUCUUCAUAAAGCUCCCUGGCGGAGGGUGUCUAGGCUGCUGUGGAAUGAGCCUGAGUAACUUUGACAGACCUUGAAAUGCAUCUGUAUGGAUCAGAUUACCUCAGAAUCCUGCAGAGCCGACAUAACCAUGGGAUUGCGGAUGGGCUCUGGGGGACCAGCAGCCAAAUUAAACGGCACUUGCAGCUGCUCUGAUGCAAACUCACCAAAGACAGAGGAGCUGAACUGACAAGGAACAGCUGAGAGCUGACCUGGGUUGCAGAGCGGGUAGUUGGCAGAGGAGGGGAGAUUAAAGCCAUCACUUCAAGUCUGAGGUUCCACAUUAUGAUUAAAAAAAAAAAACAGAUUUAUAGAGGUGAAAAAAAGGUGUUUUUUUUUUUCUUCCAGAGCAAAACCAUUUCUUUCUUAAUGUUCAGUAGUCACAAGUAGUUUUUUCCCUUUUAUUUGAACGCUGUGGGGAUGCUAUAUGGUGGCAGAAUCAAUGUUAAGUGAUGUCAAAGCCCGGCUGGAUGUGGCUCUGGGCAGCCUGGUCUGGUGGUUGGUGACUGUGCACGUAGCAGGGGGUUGAAACUAAGUGAUCAUUGUGGUCCUUUUCAACCCAGGCCAUUCUAUGAUUGUAUGAUUCGAUGAUUCCAUGAUUCUAUGAUUUCAUUCUAUGAUUCUUUGUGCUGAACUAUUUAAGAAGUCUACUCCUAGCAUAGAUUUUGAUUCCUGCAGUGCCUGCUUAAACUCCAGUAUUCUGGUAGCGUUUCCAAUUUUGAUGCUAAAGCAUAUAUAUCAUUUCUUGCUUUUAUUUCUCUCAUGAAUAUUUGUGAAACGUUGACAUCGGCAUUCUGGUUUUGAGCAAUAUUGUCAAACUGAGAUGCACAAAAAUCACGAGCCAGACCUCCGCAAACCUGCUGACAUUUGCUUAAAAAUUGUAUAUAUUUUUUAAAUUUAUUGUGAUUCCUGAACUUUUUAGACAUAUUUAUCUCAGGUUUUCAAGCCUUUUCUCUAUCAACAAAAUAGCAAUGUUUUUUAAUUGAUACUUGUGUCAUCACAAAUGACGACAUUUUGCUUGAAGUUUCAAGCUAACAAAUGGGAGUAUUCAGCAGGUGGCCAUGGUGAACAGAGACAUGUGAGUGGGCUGGUGACUAUGCUCGGGAUGGAGAGGCUUAGCACUGGUGAGUGCAUUGGCAAAAGUCAGUGAAAUUUGUUUGCUGCCUUCACUGAUGCCGUUCACUUGUGGUGUUUGGACAUUUGCCUUCCAGUCAGUAGUCGGUGGCUGUGCAUUAGCUAAAUGAAUUUAUGUAUGCCUAGAUUGCAGAAUCUCAUGAGGUAUGGCUUUCCCUUAAGUGGGGAAUGGCAAGAGGCUGAGCUGGCCAGCAGGCAAGGCAGGCGAUUUUGAGGGAAGUUGGCAGAUAUUUAAAAUCCUUCUUGUGCUUUUUUUUCUUUCCUCUUUUCACCUCCUCAUUCACAAAACACCUGGAAAAGAAUGCUGAGAUGGCUUUCUCAGGCUCCCUUCAAACUGAGCUGAAACAGCACUGCUGGAAGAGGAGAAGCCUUCUCCCCCUCUCACAAGGUGGUUCCUAUCUUCCACCUGGGGGUUCCCCAUGUACUACACCUCCUCAUUUCUGAUCGUGUUGGGGAACCCCUAAACUGAAGAGAUCUCUCAUCAGAGUAGGGACACACUUCCUGAUUGGGAUAACAGAAGCACAAGAGUUGGGACAUAAAUCUCUCCUGUGGCCAUCCCAUGGUCCUGGGGUACGUUCUUCAGCGCUGAAAUUCUAUGUGACUCACUCAGAGGGGUGAGGGCUGAGAAACUCAUGCAUGAGGGAUAAGGAGAGCAUCUUAGAGACAUAAAUAUGUGGGGUUACAUGUGUUUAUAUUUCUAUUUGUGUAUUCUUUCUCAAAUGUGUUUGUUUUCCACGUUUCCUGGUGAGUCCCUGUAGAUGGCUGCGGACAAGGCUGCCCCUUGCAGCCACUCCUCUGUGUGCCCACCUCUCCUGCUGCUGCUUCCCAGGCUAGGUGGUGGCAGCCCCUCCUAAAGGCAUGCAUUUUUGGAAGCUGGCUGAUAAAACGAGCACACGCUGAGCUCCGAUGCAAAGUAAUUCCUAGAUAUGAUGAGCCUAUUAUAUAUGUGAAUAGACCUUCAAGGGAUGUGCGAAUGAAACCUUUUUUGAUCUCCUAUCUCUUCAGAGCACUUCUUGCCAUUGCCUCUGUCUCUUCACCUAAAUUCUGCUAUUUUUUUUCAUUCAUCUGCCACGUGCAUGGCAUAUUAAAAUAAAAUAUAUAUAUAUAUAUAAAUAGAUUUCAGAGCCAGUGUUCCAGAAGGUAUCAACUAUGGGAAGAGAGCAGCAGAGGAAGAAGCUGCUGCAGAAGGCACAUGUAUGCAUAUGAGGCAAUAUGUGGGUUGUGUAAUACCCAAUUUUUCACCCACUGCUGCUCCAGAUGUUGGAGACAAGAGCAAAUGUAAGACUGUCAAUGUUGUUGUACAGGAAGUAUGGCCAAGUUACACUCUGAAAACAGAAGGCAAAUUAAAAUAAAAAUAUGUAUUGCUUAGAAAAUAGGGCAAUGCCAAACAUAUGAUCUCACAGACCACCACCUGCUUCCACCUGUUAAUAUUUCUCUUUUUGGUUUCUCCUUUGUUUUUAAUUCUUCCAUCAAUGUGAGGUUAGUAAGAGUUGGAGUUCCUUCUUGGCUCAGCAAUAAAAUGAUAUCUUCAUCUUAUAUGUGUUUCCAGACAGACAUAGAAACCUGCCUGGGAGCGUGCUUGGCAGGACUGACACCUCUGAAGUGACUGUGUGGAGCUCUCGUUCCCGUAUUUGCUCUGAUUAGGAUCCCAUUUACCCUUAGUCCUGCAACUUACGCAAGCUGCAAAGCUGUGGCUGUCCCCUACGUCCAGCAUAAUUUGCACACAUUGGGAGCGUCUGUUUUGAUGAUCUGGAACUACUUUGUGCUGUUUUUAUUGUAGAGAGAAAAAAAAUAGUAUACGCACCAGAACUAUUAAAUAAUAAGCAACUGCUAUUGGCUCUUCUUGGUAUUUUGUUAUAAAUGAACCGUUGUGUAAUGCAGUGUGGCAGUGAUCCCCUUUGUAAGGUAAAGGUGGUAAACUUGAUGGAAGUGAGGCGAAAUUGCCAAAAGCUUUAUGAAAGCACUUCUGCUUUGGCACUGUACGGAGCAGCAGGGCUGUGAGCAUGGGAACUAAUGAAGCCUGGCUCCCUAUGGAAGCACUUCUCAUGGUUGACAGACUUUUUAAUUGAAUUUUAUCCUAAAGCAGCAGUAUGAGGUCACCCCUUUCGGACACCAGAGUAUACACAGGAG